CCUACGGGGGGCAGCAGUGAGGAAUAUUGGUCAAUGGACGAGAGUCUGAACCAGCCAAGUAGCGUGAAGGAUGACUGCCCUAUGGGUUGUAAACUUCUUUUAUAUGGGAAUAAAAUGUUCCACGUGUGGGAUUUUGUAUGUACCAUAUGAAUAAGGAUCGGCUAACUCCGUGCCAGCAGCCGCGGUAAUACGGAGGAUCCGAGCGUUAUCCGGAUUUAUUGGGUGUAAAGGGAGCGUAGGUGGAUUGUUAAGUCAGUUGUGAAAGUUUGCGGCUCAACCGUAAAAUUGCAGUUGAAACUGGCAGUCGUGAGUACAGUAGAGGUGGGCGGAAUUCGUGGUGUAGCGGUGAAAUGCGUAGAUAUCACGAAGAACUCCGAUUGCGAAGGCAGCUCACUGGACUGCAACUGACACUGAGGCUCGAAAGUGUGGGUAUCAAACAGGAUUAGAUACCCGAGUAGUC
rnacentral:rRNA from 1 species